AAAUCCAGAGAGCUUUCAAACUCUCUCUCUCGCAGCCCUCAAAUCUGGCCAAUAGGGCUGUCGCCUGCGCCGCCGUGACGCCGCUGUAGGUGGUGGCCGGAGCACCAGAAAUUUGGGUUUUUAACCCCGCUUCAAGGAUCGACUGAAGGCCGAGCCUUCAUGGCCCUAGGGCCGUGGGAAGAAACCACAAACGCCACCCUCUCCGUCCGAUUUCGGCAACCGAAAUGGCUCCCGCGACGGACUUCGCAGGCAACCCCAGGAGUCAAAGGUUGACGACCGGUAAUGGGCGAGCUGUGGCGGUGUGCGAAGGCGUGCGACACAGGUGGCUGACAGAACGUGCAGCGCGCAUUAGGGUUUGCUUCUCUACUGAAUGGGGUUAAUUUUGGGUUGGGGUUAUGUUUGUAUUUGGGCUUAGGGUUAUUGAUUGGGCUUGGAUUGUUGUUUCGUUGUAAUUGGGUUAAGUCUAGGCUUGGUUUGGUUUUGGUCUAUUUGGGUUUUGGGCCCCGGGUCAAAAUUGGGCUUGUACAAUGCCAAUACAUAUACUAGUCAAUAAGCUGGUCAAAACAAGCAAAUGUCACCUAAACAACUACCUACUACCGCUAAGAAGUCUUGAAACUAGUUAAACAUAACUUGCACA